rnacentral:rRNA from 1 species
CCUACGGGAGGCUGCAGUGAGGAAUAUUGGUCAAUGGCCGAAAGGCUGAACCAGCCAAGUCGCGUGAGGGAAGACGGCCCUACGAGUUGUAAACCGCUUUUGUAGGGGGGCAAAGCGAGUCACGUGUGACUCAUUGAGAGUACCCGAAGAAAAAGCAUCGGCUAACUCCGUGCCAGCAGCCGCGGUAAUACGGAGGAUGCGAGCGUUAUCCGGAUUUAUUGGGUUAAAAGGGUGCGCAGGCGGAGGUGCAAGUCAGCGGUCAAAUUGCGGGGCUCAACCCCGUACUGCCGUUGAAACUGCAUGCCUAGAGAGCGCGAGAAGUAUGCGGAAUGCGUGGUGUAGCGGUGAAAUGCAUAGAUAUCACGCAGAACUCCGAUUGCGAAGGCAGCAUACCGGCGCGCAACUGACGCUCAUGCACGAAAGCGUGGGUAGCGAACAGGAUUAGAUACCCCUGUAGUC